UUUUCUUGGUGGUGGCACUUCCCUCUGCGGGUGGUGUGAUUUGCUGUGCCUAACGGCCAAACAGACACAAGCCCGCUUACUGCGGGCUUUUUUAU
rfam:Photobacterium sp. 13-12 scaffold9, whole genome shotgun sequence.